GGGGCAGCCGCUGAAGAGGCAGCAGUUUUACUUUAAAUGAAAAUCACACGAAAAUAUUUUUCCAACUCCUGGCUUUUUUGAGACAUCACCAGAAAGCACUGCCAGCUGUGAUUACGUCUAAUGUGAGAGCAUGAACUAAUUUAAGAGGUGAGAGCUGAAUAAUGAACCUACAUCCAGUGGAGCAGCCAAGAGUAGCAGCUCUCCCCGUGGAAGGCACCGGGAAAAACACCCCUGUAGAACUAACCUCAUACCCUUCCACAAAUGUUUACCAAGUGCCAGCCUUGUCUGCCCGGUUGCAACCAAGAACAAACCUGGAACCUGUUUGCUCGGAGCACACAGCAGGGUUGAGAUCACCUCCAGGGAUGUGGUUGCCUCCUGGUCUCUCAUUGUGGUAAGGUGAUGCCCAGCCCUGAACUGCCUUCUAUAUGCCAGUGACCCUCCAUUUUGUAUCUCCCAUCUGAGCCUUUUUCUGAGCCAGACCUGUCAUCCUAUGGGCCUAUUGGACCUUUUUGCUUAUGUAUCUUUAAGGUACAAUUAACCUUCCAGAUCCUUCUUUUCCUAUCCCAGUGACAAUGACUGUGGCCACCUAGAUAUGCAGUCUAAGGACCCCCACACCUAACCUGAUUGUAUAUGUCCUGUUGUUUAAGCCAUUCUCCUUAGACUGUUAGGGGCUCAUUAUCUCCACCUGGGCAACUUACAGCAUCUUCCUAAUGUAUCAUUCAGGGAUUAGUGAAGGAUCGCCUGAUACUGUUUAUUCUUUCACUUGAUGAAUAGCCAUCAAAGCCCUGAAAUAUGUAACCUCCACUUUUCUCCCAUGUAAGUGAGAUUUCAAAUGUCGUAUUACCUCCGAUUCUCCCAUCCCUUUUUCAUGUAGUAUAUAUUCAAAAAAUAAUGAAAAACAAUUUAGUGUUAAUAGUCCCAAAUUGUGAGGACUAAAGGAGAUUAUGUACAUGAAAAGGAAAAUCCAUUAGAGACUUCAAAAGCAGUCAUGUUUAUUUUUAGGCUUAUUAUGUUUUGGAGUCAGAAUCCUUUUAGCUGCAAGUGACAACACCAAUUCAAACUGGCUUAAGGAUUUCAUUUGGUUGAUGCAUAAAGCCUUGGAUAGAUCUUGCCAUUUAAGGCAUGAUUGGCCCUGUCAGUCAAGGUUACCAGGAUCUCUUUCCAGUAUUGGCAUCAUUUUCAGACAACCUGUUUCCAUAUAUGAGGCCCUUAGAGGUAUUACUAAGUCCUAGCAAGAAAAAAAAAGCAGUAUUUUUAGUCAAUAUUUGUAGCUGGAGUCCCAGAACCAUUCUUACAAGGGCAGCUGCAGUCACUUACCCUCUCUGGAGGUAGAGAAUGGACAGUUUGGUUGACUAAUCUUGGGCCUGGUCGCCAUCCCCUGCAAAGGGGUUUGUUGUGAGCUGCACAUAUUCUGGAAUAGAGGGACUCUCUAAAGAAAAUUAGAGAAGGGAUGCAGGACAGGCAGAAACCAUGAUGUCUACCUUAGCCCUUCUUACAGGUUUAACUGCAGUACAUUCCACACAGUAAGAAUGGUGAUGAGGAUGACAGAGGAAUAGAAGCAAUAGAUAUGUGUGUGGCUGUGAUCUUCAAGACCUCAGCUAAAUAGGAAGUCAGGUCUAUCAACCAUGAUGUUAUCUGAGGUUCUCUUUGAAGUCUAGAUGCACCUGAUACGGUAGGACUACAUGAAUCUAAAUCAACGGUCAUAACAUUUUAUUCUAAAAAAUUUUUUGCCAGUGUUCUGUUGGAAUUUUUUUUCUUUUCUUUUCUUUUCUUUUGUACCAAGCAUCAAACUCAGGACCUUGCACUUGCCAGGCAGGCGCAGGUGCCACUGAGCUAAAUCCUCAGCUCCUAAUUUUUAUCUUUUUAUUUUUUAGGUUCUCAGGAAGGUGAAGGUAAAAUUUUCAGUUCUUUCUGGACAUAUACCUAAAAUUCCUUAUUAUUCAUCAACUGAUGAAAAUUUGAGAGAGUCUAAAGAGUAAAAAGUAGUUUCAGAAAUGUACUGACUGUAGAAUUUAACUUUCUAAGGCUUUUCAGGUGUUGAAAUACUGGUAAAGUAUUAAAAAGCCACUUCUCUGAAGCUUUUAAAAUAACAAAGAUUUAGGAAACUGCAAGAUUACAAAUAAUGAAUUUAUACCACUACUAUUAUAUCUUUUACUUUUGGCUUUAAAUAUGGUAUCACAUUGUGGUGCAGUCAAAGGUUUAUUUCCUCUCCUGUGCUCUGAAUUUCCCACCACAGUGCAGUCUAAGAAAUGAAUGUAGCCGCAGCCUCCACCGAUGCUGUAUUCAUGGUUGCCCCGCUCCCCUCCUACUCCAUACCCUGGGAAAAAACGGCAACCUCCAUGGGAAUGAGCGCAUUUUCAGGAAAAGGGGGGUAUUUUCUUAAAGAAUGUGAAACAAACUCAUCCUUUUAUUAAAUCAAAAUGGAUUCGCUAAUGUUUAUACACAUCAAAUGGAGUUUUAUCUCUUUCCUCUUGUUCAAAGGCCCAGACAGUGCCAUUCCCUAGGGCUUGGUUCAUUUGCUCCUAAAGCAGAAGAGACAGUCCACUUUGUUCUGAAGAUUGUUAAUUUUAGGAUAUCAAGGGUCAAAGUCAUUUCAGGCUAAUUCCUAAAGUUAUACUAUAAAAUACAGGAAUGAUUCUAAGUUGUACAAAGUAUGAAAUACUGUAAUAUUUUAACUUUGACCAAAACCUUUACCUUCCUGGGUGUGUCUUUUUUGCCUAUUCAGAUUCAUAUUAAAUGCAACAUUUUUGCUGUUUAAAUUUUAAAAGUUAUGUUUAAAAAUUAACCUUAUAAUUGAACAUUUUUACUAAUACAGGAAAAAGACAGGAUUACUUUUUAAUGAAGGCCAGGUUUGUGGUAACAUUUUUAUUCUUUUAAAAAAAUUUUUCUUUUGAUCUUAAAAAAUAAAAGAACACAUUUAAAAUGCCUUUAGUUCUUACGUUAAUACCAAAUUAUGUAUUUUUUUAGUCUGUUUCAGAAGGAGAUACCGCCUUCUCAGUUAAAAGAUGCUGACACUAUUUUCAAAACAAUGCCUUGAAUCUGCUGUGGUGUGGGCAGGGAUGCACAGAAAAAAAGAGGAAAGCAAAGGAAUAAACUACAAGCAAUUACACUCUACCAGGUACAGCAUUCACACCCCAAGCCUGACACUAGACUCUGCUGCUCCCUCUGGAAAUUGAUGUGGGCUUCAGUGCUGCUGCUGCCACAGCCAAAAUUGAGUCCCUGCAGUCUUGGCUUGUCCUGUGUCAUGCCAAGAGUCAACAGCAUCUGAAUGGUUGCACCUAGAUCACGUCUGAGCCCUAGCUGCAAGGGAGGCUGGGAAAGUGAGCAUCUGACGCCUAUGGAAUUGUUGGUCUCUGCCUCCUGUCAGUACUCAGGAGGUAGAGAAAUCCACAGCCAAGAGAUCACUUUAGAUGCUGGGUGAUGUCAAGGGUAACAGAAGGUGCAAAAAGGAUGACAAGUCCCCACUAGAACUUUCUUUCAAUACUCCUAAGCCCUAAUUAAGAGCUCCACUCAACAUGUAUCUAGGACAUGGCUGGAAAAAGCCUUGUGCUCAACUUUGAGAAGAAUUAAAUUAAAGGAAUGAUUACUAAGGGUGGGCAAGGUCUAGAGAACCACAAGAGACAGUGCAGCACUCCAGAACUGGCAACAGUAGGGAGCUUUCAACAUCCUGGGCCUGAAGAGGCAAGGGGAGGAAGCAUUUCCCAGAGCCAGAGGCAGGACUGCCUAACUGUGUGGAGAGAAUCAUUUAAAAUAAACGACCCAGCCCUGGGCACCUCCUCACCAAGAGGACAAGAGGAGCAAAUGCCACUCCUUCCUUUCCUGUGGUUCCCUGUUGAAGCUCCCCACCAGCCUGGCCAGAGACCAGAGGGCCAGGGAGCACAUGCAGGUAUGAGCUGCAGAAGAAGACUGGAGAGCAAAUGUGGAGAAAUAAACAGAAGAGGUUCUGCACUUACGGCUUCAUCGAUAUGUCACUGGCAUUUUUUCUUUUUUAAAUUCAGUAUCUCCUUUGGGGAUGUCCCUUUACAUUUUCAGUAGCUCAGCCCACAAGAUCAAUGGACUUAAAAUGUUCUUCUCAUCCUGAAUUUAACGAGAUGCUAUUUCCCCCUUGUUUGCUAUUUAGAAUGUUCUAUUGUAUGGUUCAACAAUCUGCACCAUUAAAGGUUAGCAAAUCCCAACCAGGACAUUUUUUUUCCCUUUCUGGGCUUGGGGAAAAAGGAGAAGAGGUGUGACCUGCACAGACAGCAUCAAAAAUCUCCUUUUCUGAAUCUUCCUGCAGAAAUCCUCUCUAUGUAUUGUCUCAGCACAGGAGAUUUCCUGUUGUUCAUCCCUGCCUCCUCCUCAUUAAUAUCCAGCCUUUUAAAUAAAGCAUGUACAAGAAUAGUCAAUAAAAUAAACCCCACAUGAUUACCAACAGUUGCAGGCCCAUGAGUUCCCCAAGGAUUCACCCACUGUAACCCCUCAUCCUUUGAAAGUACAUGAUAACUUGUGUUAGAGUAAUCAGUUAUUGGGCCAGGGAUUUAGCUCAGUGGUUCCAGUGCCUGCCUCCCAAGCACAAGCUCCUGAGUUUGAUCCCUGGUACCAAAAAAAAAAAAGUCACCAGUUAUUUAGUUUGGGAAAGAAUACCAAGGGGAAACCUUCAUCAUCAUCUUCAAGUAUAUGAUGUGUUCCUUCCCAGAGUAUGGAAAGCAAGUGUUUUCCCUGUCCUCAAUCAAGGGAGUGAGUACAGCACGAGGAAUAAAAUAGAAAUAAAAUAAUAAAAUGGUUGCACUUUGAAACUACAAUGUUAAGUGAAAUAAAUCAGACACACAAACUUGAAUAUUGCAUAGUUUCUUUUAUGUGAGAAAUUCAAAAUUUAAAUAAAGAACAAAAUAACAGAUAAUAGGAAGAUAGAUCAUUCUCAAAUGGGAAGGGGAUUAAGAGAGAAGGAGAAGGAGGGGAGGAUGCUGAAAAAAUUAAGAUGUUUUAUGUAUGUGUACCAACUCCACACAAAAAUGUAAACAUUAUGUAUUACAAACAUACUAAUAAAAACUGAUGAAGAAAACAAGCCUACAGCUGGGCAAAAUCAUUAACCACAAAGCCUAUUUUGCAAUAAAAUGUUGAAUAUUUGCCAAAAAAUAACAUUAAUAAAAGUCUUACUUUAAAAUGCAAAUGAAACCAAAUGUGGCAGCACACACCUGUAGUCCCAGCCCUCUGAGCAACUGCAGCAGGAGGAUCACAAGUUUGAGUCCUGCCUGGGCAACUUAACAAGAGCCUGUCUCAAAACACAAAAUAAAAAAAGCUGAAGAUGUAGAAUAGUGCAAAGGCCCUAGGUUCAAACCCUAGUACUACCACUAAAAAAAAUUGCAAAUGACAGAGAAAUACACACAGCAAAGUUGACUUCUAUGCUCUGGAAGUUUGAGCUAAUUAUUUCUAAAAUUAUUCAGGUGCUUUCACAUUUACUACCUAAAUUUUCUUUUGUUGUUGCGAUUUUUGCCAUGGCAUUCACUAAAAUUUGUUUCUUUAAAUAUUUUUUCUUAGGCUUCAUGUUGCAUAUAAAUGUAAAUUUUUGUCAUGUAGAUUGUCUCGUUUAACUUCCCUCAAAUAUCCAGCUGGCAGCUGAAUACCUCAAUUUGGAUUUCCCACCAACAUGUGCCACACUUACAUGUGCAGUUCAGAACCAGCAUGUGCAAUGCCGUGGUACCUUGGUUCACAAACUUAAUGUGUUUUAUGAUUUGGGGGAAGAUGGCUGCGUUUGUGUUUGUGUGGGGAACAUGACCAUGGUUGUGUUACCCAAUGUGGAGUUUGUGAACAGAAGCAAAGUCUUAUGUUACCACUUGUACAAUUCCUCUAUGGUUGGCUAUCACCCUUGGGUUACUGAAAAGCAUGGCAUGGCAUUCAAAUCUUUGUCCCUCAUUGUUCGUCUUGCUCCCCAGCCCAUAUCUCAUUGCUUCAUGGACUCUGAUCACUCUGAGCCACUUGAUAUUCCAUACCACUCAUGGGGAGCCCACACAUAGACACCAACAUGCUUUUGCACACACUUUUCCCUCAGCCUGAGUUGUUCUCCAUCCCAUCUGGCCUGGAGACCUUCUCUUCACCCUUCUAGUCCAAACACAGUCACUCAUUGUGUACUUGCAUUGUUUCUUGUGCAAAUAAUAGGGCAGAACAUCUGGCCAAAGGCUCCUGAUGGUCCAGCUGAGAAGUAGUGCAGAAGACUAGAUGAUGGCCAGGGAAAUGGAGUGGGCAGAGUCUAGGGUGGUGAUGGCAAACCUUUUAGAGCUUUCAAUGAUAACAAACAGCUGGCUGCAGCAUGCAUGUCAUAGAUUCUCCUCCACUAGUCUAGGGCAUACUCUUUGUGUAGAGUUUUCUAGACCUUCUGAUGGGUUGGCUGUGGGGACAAGAGGAGAGAAGAAAUCCAAAUCAGAGCAGGCAGCUCCAUCAGCAGGAACAAAUUACAGGGAAAACUACACCCUGGGACCCAACUUCAGUAAUUAUCACCUCUGUGUCAGUCUUGUUCCUUUACACCCCAACCUCCUUCCUCCUGCUGCCCAGCCCCACCCACACAAUGGCUUAUUUUGAAGCAAGUGCCAGACAUUUUAUAAUUUCACCUGUAAAUAUUAUGUCUGUAUUUCUAAAAUAAAAGAACUCUUUUUAAAAAAACAUAAUACCAUUAUCAUUUCUAAAAAAAAUUACUGAAGAAUGUAAACAAACAAAACUAAUACUAGUACUUUAUAUCAUUGGGUAUACGGGUAUACAGUACAUUUAGCAAUUACGUUUUCCCAAUGUGUUAUUUGUUGUUGGUUGUUUGUUUGAAAUGGAAUCUAAAUUGGCCUAUAGACAGUAUUGAUUUGUUGCUGUGUUUCCUAACUCCCUUUUAAUCUCUUCCCCCCUUACCUUUGUCUCUUCCAGUUUGGUUGUUGUCAUUAGUAAUGUUGCUGUCACUGAAGAAACUGGAUGUUCGUUCUGUACAAUGUUAGAAUUUCCUGAUUGCAUCACUGUGGUGUUGUUUAACUUGUUCUUGUGUCUCCUCUAUUUCCUGAGAAUUUAUUUUAUCAGAAACGGGAGUUUUGUUGCUGUUGUUGCCUUGGGGAAGGUCAGCAUGACCAUUUCAUAGAUGGUGUUUUAUAUGUUCAUCAAGAAGCUUAUCAUGUCUUAUUAUCUAUUUUUGUGAUGUUAGCAACCAUCAAUGUUUAUUACCUAUAUCUAUUCAUUUAUUAGACCUGUCAAAGUGGCAGUAUUCUGAUUGUAUCUUUUUUUUCUUCAUUUUCUGAGUGAGAUGUUCUGGAAAGAGGACAGUUCAUACAGAAAAAAUAGUAGAAGCUAUGUGUUUUAUAUUCCCCUUCAUAUACCAAUUUUCUAAAUAAUGAGUUGUUCCCAGGGGCCAGGGAUGUAGCUCAGUGGCAUUGUGCUUGCCUCGAAAGCCCAAGGUCCUGAGUUUGAUCCCUGGUACUGGAAAAAAAAAAAGAGUUAUUCCCUGUCAUCUUCCAAAGGUCAUGAAUGAAUGAAUGAAUUUACUUUUAUUUUAUCAUUAAUAUUAUUAAGGGAUUACUUGCUAAAUAUGUUUAUAUGUAGAUUGCAGUUAUAUUUAUUGAUAUCUAAAUUAUUCUGUCUUUGGUCAAUGGAAGCCAAAUCAAGUCAGCUCUAAACUACUUCUGAUAUGACCCUAAUUUCUUUUACAAGCUUCCUCCUUUCUGGUAUGUUUCAAGUUCAUCUUGUGUAUUUCCUGCUGCAGACCUGGAAUCAGCCAUUUCUCUUAGAAUUUCCAGGUUCCUUUCAAUGGGAAAUAUUGUUUAGAGACCACAAUCUGGGCAGUAAGUACACUCAUCGCUUCUCAGCUAGUUACUAUUUACAGUGGGCAAAGACAGAAUAUGUGUGUGUGUGAUUUUUUAAAGAAAUUGCAUGUCCAAUUCAAAUUCAGGAUAACCAUGGAUAUCCAUAAAGUGUCUUCUUUCUCCUGUGACGAAAAUCUCAAUUCUAAACAAUCCCAAUGUAAUUUCCAGUUUUCUCUAUUUCAUACUACACAAAAUCAACUUCAAAAUAAUUAGACAAAAACUAAAUUAACAAUAAACUAACUAUAACAGUUCAGUUUUUUUUCUUUGUCUUUCAGGUACAUCCCACUGCGGAUUAUUGUCAAAUUAAUGUAUUAUAGGAUCACUGAGAAUAGUUCCUCUGUGUGUGGCUACACCACCAACUGGUUACAUAGUUAAUUUCACUUACUUUGCUUUACAUUUUUAAUAGUUCCUUCUUAUAACUAUGAAAAUAUUUACCUGGUUGCAAAGUCAAAUAAAUCUACAAACAAGGUACAUUAAAAGCCUCAUUCUCUUUCUCUACAAUAUUAAAACAUGAUUUAUCCUCUUUCUUUUUAUAUGAGAAAAUAUCUCUACAUGCUUGUAUUCCUCUCCUCUUAGAGAAAUGACAGCAUACUAUAAACACUUCCUCCUCCUGUUUUCACUUAAUAGUACUUCUUAGUGGUAAAUACCAGUCUUUGAUUUGGGCUCUGGUUCACGGUACUUAAAUUUUCAGCAGAUAGCUGCAGGUUCUCACUCCUCUCUCACUCACGUGCCACAUGCGAACUGUCAUGGUUUAACUUCAGAAUCCAAGGCCUGACCCCUCUCACCACUCUCCUCUACCCUGCCAGAGCUGUCAGCUCUUACUGGAACCAUUGCAGUAGCUCCUCAUCACUGCUCUCCUUCAUCUACCCUCAGUGCCCUCAGGUCUGUUCUCAGCGAGUCAAAAGAGCCAAAGUCUUACUCACCUUUGGGAGCUCGCACCUCAUCCUUUUCUCUCCCCACUCCACUCUGGCCACACUUGCAAUGGCUAGUGGGCUCAUCCUCCUUGUAUCUGCAAUGCUCACUCUCUCGCCCCCUUCAAAUUGUUCUUCAAAGUAGCACCUUCACGGUGAACUUUACUCUUCCCCCUUCUAAAAUUGCAGCCUGACCCAUCCCCACCUCAGCUUUCCUUUGGCCUCCUCUAUUUUCCCAUACUACUUAUUACCUUCUGUCAUGCUGAAGAAUGGUUAUUGUCCAUUCAUUUAUUGUUCUCCACUGGAAUGUACAUUCUACAGGGUAUGGAUCUUUAUCUGUUUUGCUCACUAAUAGAUCCCCACUGCCUAGAAAAGUGCCUGGCACAUAAUAGGCACUUAGUAAAUAUUGUUGAAUGAAUGAAUAAAAACUUUCUUAACUUCAACUGAUAAAGUUACCAAACUGUGGCCUAGUGUUACAGGAAUAUUCAGAACCACAAUGACCAUCUGACCCAUAGGAGAACAAGGACCCUUUUCCAGUGACCAGAACAUUACUUCUUCCUCUGCCAUAUCCUGAGGCUCUGCAUAUGAGAGUUGAUGAGGGUCAUGUGAUACUUUUCUACUAUCACACAGCUGAAAGAUAAUAACAACUUACUAUUUAUAUGGUUUAUUAUGUUAAUGUAAGUUUUACAUAUACUAAUUAAGUCAUUUGAUCAAUAAAACAAUCCAGCAAAGACCGUUUUAUGAUUUUGCUCAUUUUAGAAAUGAAGCCACUGAAGCACAAAUAGAUUUUUUUUUAAUUGCUUAUAACUAAUAAUUUAUUUAUGGUAGAAUUAGGACCAGAAUCUCCAGGGAGUUUGGCUCUAGAACUCAUGCUUUCAAUUAGUACUAUCCAACAGGUUUUGGGCAAUGAUAGCAAUGUUCCCUAUCUGUACUGUUCAGUAUGGUGGCGCUAAAGCAGUGAUGGUGAACCUUUUAGAGACCAAGAGCCCAAACUGCAACCCAAAGUCCAUUUAUUUUUUGUAAAGUGCCAACACUGCAAUUAAACAUGAAUACUGAGAGUUUAGUUUAGAAAAAAAAACACCUCAUACCCUUGGCUUGCAUUCCAACAGAGAGGGCUCUGUGUGUCCACUGCGGCACAUGUGCCAUAGGUUCACCACCACUGGCCUAGAGUCACAAGUGGCUGUUGAACAACUGUAAUGUGACUAAUUCAAGUGGAACUCAAUUUCUAAUUGUACUUAGUUUUAAUUUCAGUUUAAAUAAGAAUAUGUCAUUACUGUGUGGAAAGCUCAACUUUAAGCCAAUAUAGUCUUGUGCUUUUUAGGUAUGAUUGACAGAAUAUCAAAGAAGUUGUAUAAGGGUUUGUUGCAGUUGUUCUUCAAAUCCAAGGGUACAUCUUUGUGGGAUUCUAAGAAAUGGCUAGAGCCAAUGAACUUUAAGUCUCCCAGUGUCAUCUAUAACUUAUGGAACAUAUGGCUCUCUAAUUUCCAAGCAUUCUUAGAACAAAAAGAAAAACCAUAAAGAGUAUGUUGUCCAGAUACAUUAUGUUCCUUUUUGUUGAAAGAAAUAGAGGAUUAAAUUGUUCUGACUCUAAUUUGUCCUUAUUUAAGUGCAUACUUGUGAAGAUAAAAAUAAAGUUAAUCAUAAGAGGUAGAACAUGACAUUGCAGGUUCAAUUGAAAAUUGCAAGUUAUAUUUCUAUUGAUGUUUAAAUUAUAUUUUUUAUUUUUGAAAAAUAUAUAAACUAAUUUUUAAAAAAAGAUGGGAAAAGACUAGACAAAUUUUACCAUCUGGAAUUAAUCACUGGCAUAUUUUUCCCUGUGUAUAUGAAAAAUAUAUGUCUUUUUUCUGUGUAUACAGUAUUAUUUGAAUUAUACAAGUGAUAUAUGAAUUGUGUUAGCUUUCUGUCACUGUGAAAAAUACCUGAGAAAAUCAUCUUAGAGGAGGAGAGAUUUAUUCUGGCUCACAGUUUCAGAAGUUUCUAUACAUGGUCCAUGGCUCCUUUUCUUUGGGACUGAGGUACAGCGGAACAUCUUGACAGAAGGACAUGGUAGAGGGAAGCUGCUCACCUCACCAUAGCAAAGACACAGAGCUGAGACUGCACUGGAAGCUUCUGUCUUAUUUCACUCUUGUUCUAUCCAAAUGCCUAACCUAUUGGCUGGUGCCACCCACAUUCAGGGUGGGUCUCUCCUCACUGCGUGCCUCACAUGCCAUGUCUCUAGAAACUCCCCACAGACAAACCCAGAAGUGGGCUUGACUGAUCUCCCAGGCACUUCUCCAUCCAAGUUUACAAUCAAGAUUAACCCUUACAUAAAUUCUCCCUUUAAAAAACACACAUUAUUGGGCCAGGGGUUUAGCUCAGUGGUUCCAGCCCCUGCCUUGCAAGCGCAAGGUCCUGAGUUCAAUCCCCGGUACAAAAAAAAACAACACAUUAUUGAUAUUCUCUCUCUCUCUCUCUCUGUCUUUCCAAACACUGUCCUUUCCCUUUUCAGAAAGCAACAAUAUUCUGAACUUGGUGUGUAUCCUUCCAGCCCAUUUUGUAUACUUUUAUUCUUCUAUGCAUAUAAAGCACAUGACUUUUUGGUGUGGAGUAUUUUUAAUCUUUAUAUGAAUGAUUUUACAAUGUAUUUCAUUCUGUAAUUUUUUUAACUUCUCAUUGUUUUUGAACUGUUAUACCAUGUGAGCAUACCACAGUUUAGUUGUCCAUUCUUUGGCUUAUGAGUACUUAGGUUAUGUCCAGAUUUUUAUUAUUUCAAGUCAUGCUGCAGCAAAUGUCUUUGUGCAUAUCCUCUGUGCAUCUGUGUAAGUAUUUUUCUGGGCAUAUAAUUUUAAGAUCACAAAAUCUGAUCAUUUUCCAUAUCACUAGGUACUUUGAAAACACCUCUAAUCGAUUGGGCCAUUUCCAUUCCUCUUGGUAGUGUGUAAAAGCAUUCAUCUGCUGCACUUGUGCCAAUAUCUGAUGCCAACUUUAAAAACUUUGCCCAUCUGAAAUAGCUACCUUAUUGUGAUUUCAGUUUGUGUUCCCCUAAUUAUAUAUUUUGUUUUGUUUUGUUUUGGUACCAGGGAUUGAACUUGGGACCUUGCGCUUGCAAGGCAGGGGACAGAACCACUGAGCUAAAUCCUUGGCCCUGUGUUCCCCUAAUUAUAAAUGAGGUUUCACAUUCUGCCAUGUUUAGUAGCCACUUGAAUUUCCUUUUUUUGUCACAUCUAGAAUAUAUCACUUAGGUUUUUGCUAUUGAAUUAUUUAUCUUAUUGAUUUGCAGGAGUUCUUUGCAAUGUCUGGUGAACAAUCUUGCUUACUAGGAAUGCUACAAAUAUUUACUCCUGGUCUACAGCUUGUCUUUAAACCUUCUUAUGAUUUAAUUUGUCAUGCAGAAGUUUUAAGUUUUAGACUUUAAUUAUGGCUUCUAGCAAACUUCUGUCAUUCUUGUUGAACUGACAAGCCUUACUAAAUCUUCAUGUGUUAUAUUCUAGAAGAGAUUAAACAAAUGUAUAGCUUUCUGAUUUGUUGGUUGAUUGCUAUGUCUGAGAAAAAAUUUUUCUUGUGCCUAUUUAUAGCAUUUUUCUUAAGGGACAAAGUUUAUUUUUAUGUCAUUGUGAAAUGUUUUGCUGUGGUGGUAAUGAUUUUUUGAUAUCUAAUAAUAAAAUGUUAACAGUGGUAAAAGCCUUGUAAUAGAUUUUAAAGUAAGAAUUGAUUUUGCUUUUCAUUGCUUGCUCUUUGAAAGUGUUUCUUCAUGGCUCCUUUUUUUUGGACUUUUUAGUUACUGGGAUCUUCUAUCUAAAAUUAUGCUCAAAAUAAAUUUCAUAUGUUUAAAAAUUAUUUUAAAUAACAUCUCUCUUCAGACCGAAAUCACAGCAGACUGAAGCCUGUUUACCAGCUUUGAGUCCUGGCUCUACCACCUGCUGCAUAGAAACAGUAGGCAAGCCACCUUAACUCCUUGUUUCUCAGUUUCCUCUGCUAUAAAAUAGGGUGAUACUAGAGCAAGACUCAUGGGAUUGCUGAGAAGGUGAAGCGAGUCGUAACUCAUCAGAAGGCUCUAAAGCAGGGCACAGCUCAGGGAAAGCACGUGAAGGAGGUUGCCGGUCUGAUCCCUCAGAUGGCUUAAGAUUCUUAGAAAUGAAAGGAAACAUGUAGAUUUAGUGCUCUCUGAAAAACAUUCCAGUUAAAGACCAGCUGAAUUCUUUAAUUGUCAUUUCAUAUUCCAUUAAUGAUUCAGAAAAAUAGACAAAUGCUAACACAGCUGCACCCAGCCGAUCAAUGCCAAACUAUCUUUUAUAGAUUCUCCAUUACACACUUUAAACUACCCUAGCUCAGUGCUUGCUUACUCCAAAUACUUAAAAAGCAAUUUGAAAGCAAACACAAAGCCUCACAGAAGACAUAUACAUCUCAAAGAGCCUGGCCCUUCACAAGUGUGACUGUAUUGUCAUCUGUCUUCUCUGCUCCCACAAGUCAGUGUGCUCUAUGAAGGCCAAGGCAGGAUAUUGGUAAAAUCCACUUGUUACUGUGUGUUUAGCAUCAGGCUGGUCCCUUCAUCCUUUGUGUAAGUUGACAACAUGAUGUUUUGAUAUAUGUUCACGCUGUGGAAUGAUUAAAUCACACUAAUUUAAAAAUCCCUCACCACACACACUACCUUUUAAUAAAAAAGUUUAAAAUGUAAUACUUUAUUGAUUUAGAAUGCACAGUCCACUAUUAUUUCAGUCACCCUUCUGUGCAGUAGAGCUCUAAAGCUAUUCCUCCUAACAUGUUUUGUAUCCUUCGAUCAGCAUUUCUCUUUUCCCCUUCCACUCCACUGCCCCAGCCUCUGAUAACAUUUUUAGAUUCCACAUAUGAGUGAGAUCAUGUGGUAUUUGUCUUUCUGUUUCUGGUUAUUUCACCUAAGAUCCUCUAGGCUCAUACAUGUGGCUGCAAAUGAUAGGAUUUCCCCCUUUAUAAAAGCAAAUACUGUUCAUAUCUUCACUGCAUUUCCUUUAUCCAUUCAUCUGCUUUGGACACAGGUUGCUUCCAUAUCUUGACCUUAGGGGUGGUGCUGCAAUGAACAUGAGAAUGCAGCUGUCUCUAGCAUAUUGAUUUCAAUUCCUUUGGAUGUAUACCCAGAAGUGGAACUGCUUGGUCACACAGUGGUUUUACUUUUAGUUUUCCAAGAUACUUCCAUACUACUUUCCAUAAUGGCUAUAUCAUUUUACAUUCCCAUCCACAGUGGAUGAGGGUUCCCUUUCCACACUCUCACCAACACUUGUCUCUUGUUCUUUUAUAAUAGACAUUCUAAGUGUGAGAAUUUGUCCUGCCAGACUCUGUGGCUGAUUGCCUGCCUGGAUUUGUACACAGGGAUGCUUUUCUGCAGCUCACCUUCGAGGGCUGGGCUCCGAAUGGGAAGAGCCACAUUUCAGAUCCAGCCCUCUUGCCCUAUAAACUGGAUAGUAAUUGACAUAAGCUUCAGAUUCUUCACCCCUAAGGGAGAAACGAUCAUGAAAGAUUGAGUGAAGUUAGCAUGUAAAGUGAUAAAAGAAUGUAGGCUUUUAAAUAAUGAGAGUAGAAUUUUACCAGACAUUACUUCAAUGACUCCAGCUGGAUAUUAAAGUGAACAUCAAUAUAUACAUAUGACAGGACCUGAACCAAAUAAUUUAAUUUUAGCAAUUCUAUACCCUCUCCAUAUCUUGGUAAAUCAUUUUAGAACGAGCAUGCUUCCCCUGUACCUCAGCUCCUCCAUUCAAGAAGGAUGCAAUAGGGGCUGUGAUGUUUUCAGAGCAUUAGUGGCUGAACUAAAACCAUUGUCUAUCCUCUAUUUUCCCUUGUGAGUGCAUAUGAGAUAACUGCUCUCGCCUGUUAACCCCCAGCAGAAAACCUGCCUGCAAACAAUAGCUUGCAAUCCCAGCAUGGUAUCCAGUGUUGGCAUAAAGGAUUCAGUGAGCAGAGCGUGGGGGUCAGCCUGCUGUUGGGCGCAGGCUGCUCUUGUUGGCACAGCCCUUUUGUGCAGGAUGUAGUCCUUGUUCUGCCACCUGUACCAGGCUACACACCAUUCUGUUUACUCACUGUCCUUGAACUAACAGGCUCCUUUCCCCUAGCCAUAAACAGAUUGGUGUGAGAGAAGCAUCUCCUACUGAGAGACUCACUUCUGCACUGACUCCUCUUUGUUAAUCUUCUGCAAAAUAAGGCAGUUUUCUGUUGAAGAGAAAGCAAUCAUUAAUUUUUCAUAAGAGCAGCAAAGUUGUGAAUAGUGGAGGACCUCUUGAAUAAAGAGCUUAGAGGUUCCAGAGAGAGGAGAAUAAUAAAGCUGGGUGGGGGUGGAAAGUGUGUUCUUUCUUGCACUGUUUAUCAUACCCUCCCCUUCCUCCUUGUUAAGAAGGAAGAAGCCAUUUACUGAAGCUAACAGUUCUUCAAAUCUCAGGAACCUUCAUUUUAAUCCUUAUCAGUGCUUUUUUAAAUGAAUAAUACAGUGACCUUCAGCUUUCUUCUGUAAUAUGCGAGGUUGAUUUGUAAAGACUGCUUUAGUUUUUUAAAUUAAGGCAGAUGCUGUAUGUAUUCUACUCAAUUCUAGCAUUAGUGUUGUCCCAAGUGUGGCAUUUAUGUUCUUUCAUUUCUUUGGUAUAAAUAAAUAUCAAAGUAGGAAGACCAGUGUGAACUCUACAAGGAAUAAUAAACUAAAAUAGUAUAGCAUUGAUUUUGUUCAGGAUGUCCAAGUGUGUUUUUAUGAUUGUGUAUGUUUAUAGCUUUUUUCACAGAAGUGAUAUGAGUUCUGGGCAAUUAAAAAGGGCAUGAAUUUUGUGCCAUUUAGGAAGAGAAUCUCCUUUCUAAUAGCUGAGCAUUCUACCAAGUUGUGGCUCUUAAGGAAGCACACAGAUUUCAUAAUUGUACUUUAAACUUGAGAGUUAUUGCCACUUUUAUUGUUUUACAG
rnacentral:lncRNA from 1 species